rnacentral:rRNA from 1 species
UACGUAGGGUGCGAGCGUUAAUCGGAAUUACUGGGCGUAAAGCGUGCGCAGGCGGUUUGUUAAGUCUGAUGUGAAAGCCCCGGGCUCAACCUGGGAACUGCAUUGGAAACUGGCAAGCUCGAGUAUGGCAGAGGGGGGUGGAAUUCCGCGUGUAGCAGUGAAAUGCGUAGAGAUGCGGAGGAACACCGAUGGCGAAGGCGGGUCUCUGGGCCGAUACUGACGCUGAGGAGCGAAAGCGUGGGGAGCGAACAGG